rnacentral:lncRNA from 1 species
GGCCACGUGCUUCCGGCCCCGCCCUGCGCCUCGCGCAGAGGCCACGCCCACUGAGGCACGCCCAUAGCCCCGCCCAUGUCCCCGCGGCCUGGGCGCGCUGUGGGGCCCGGCUUUGGGGAGAAUUUACCCAAAAUCGGGUGCGCGGGGACGGGGCUUGCCAGAGUCUCGCCAGCCUCUCCACCAAGGAGUGUGGUCUGCGCCCUGCCCGGCAGCACAGUCCUGUGAGAGGAUCGCGUCUCCGUGUGCGGAGCGGCCAGAGCCACCGCGGGUGCUCCACACACAGAUCCCCUGACCAGGGCUCCAGCUUCUCUGGCGAGCUCCAGGACCUCCACAUACAAGGAUGUACCCAGAGCAGAGAGGAGCUGUCGCCCAUGUCUGGGAAGAAGUGA